CCCCCCAUCUCUGCCUGUCAAGUCUUACUCAGGAUCACCCAGCACAGGCAUCAUUCCUUCAAGUCAGCCCAACCAGCCAUGUGAAGCCUACCUGGCUAUCAGCUAUCGCAGACGGGGAAGCAUUCCUCCUCAGCUUUCCUGUGAGGGGAGUGUGCGCGAUGGAAGAAUCACAGGCUCAAAAGUCAGAGAGACCUGGGUUUGUGGUUAUGACUCAGCGUCUGCCAGAAGGGAGCCCUCGCUGGGGCUCCGUCUUCUCAUCUGUGAGCCAGGUUCUCAUGGCUACUCCGAAAGGCCGAUCCACUCUUUUGUACAGAGAAAGCCAAGAUACAGGAGGAAGGGAGAAACAGAAUUAGCUACAAGGAACAGCCUGUAUGCCAAGGUGAGGAUUAGAUCUUCCUGACUUUCCUCUGCUGUUUCCUUAUCGAGUCACCUGUGUUUAUAGCUUUAUGAGAAACUCGUGCAUUACAGGCUCCUUAAAUUACACUGAUAGUUACUCAUUUCCUAUGGUAAACAGUGUCUAUCCUCUUCCAACUGGUCUUUAUUAAAAUGCAAAUUGUACCAGAUGAUAACACAUCAAAUUCCCAAUACUCUUUUUUUUAAGGUACAUUCCUAGGAAAGGGAGGGGGGAGAAAGAAAGAAACAUCCUGAGAACCAUUCAAAGUUAGAGAUCAGGCAGAGGAAGGGUGGUGGUGAAGUGGAUGGAGAAAAGGAUGCUAAGAGGGGGCAAGAUUCUAGAAAGGUGGGACAGGGGACAGAGAAGAUAGACUCCACUUAUUUUAUGGUUUCUCUCUGCUAACCCCCCAACACACACACACAC